UGUGUGUGUGUGUGUAAAGUCCCUUUGAAUCAUUUUUAAUCAUGUGAAUGAGGAUUAUGUAAUUAUUUAUAUUCACAAACAGUAUUGAAGAAUUUGAUUUUCAAACGCUAUACCCUAUUUAUAUUAGAAUGAAAUAGACAAAUAAUUGUUCUAUUGAAAGGAUCUAGCUACAGGCCAAAGCUCGACUCGGCGGAAGCAUAAAUAUAGCAGCGCGGAAGGAUACAUGAGUGAAUAGACAGUGAUUCCAACUGUCAGUCUCUGUCAGUGUCGAACAAAUUCGGGAGGAUGACAUUUAUCCACGGAGGAUUUAAUCACGGAGUAAUUAUUUCAUUUUGGGAUAGAGGUCACUGAAGAGGAGAGAAGUAAAUUCAAAGAUAAUGAAGUUGAUGGAGAAGCAGUGGACUAUGGAUUGACUGAGAGAAUGGUUUCAUACCUCUUUGAAGGAUUGUUUAAGAAGCAAGCAAAAUACAACCGAUUUGUUCAGCAGUGGAAAGAAACCGUGACACUAACCCUCGAGCCUGUCCCGGUACAUUCAGAGAAGGCUACACCGGAAUCAAGUCAUGCAAUCCCAUCAUCAGCCUUCCCAGCAGCUUUCAUCAUUCCUAAAUUUCCCAGAGAUGUUCAGACAAAGUUGGACCAAAAACCGCCAUGCAAAAUGGAGAGAUCCGAUCACAACAAAAUCAUAAGAACAUUAUAUGAAACCAUGUCCCUGAUCAAAAUGUUUCUGACCAAUGACGACUACGUGAAAGUGUGUAAGGCCCUGAUUUUGAAAUACCCUUUCUUAAAGGACAAAGAAGGAAAUGGUUAUUUUAUUCCCUGUAUCUAUUCUCUUAUAUCGCUGUUUUGUUUUUGGAGUGGCAGUAUGAAGUUGAGAGUUGGUCAAUGAAAUGCUUCUUAAAAAUGUAUUUAAUUUUUUUUAAUGUUUUUUUUAUAUCAGACAUGACAUCCUAAACAUUGUGGCAUUUUAUUUUGGGAUGUUACAUUGUAUGGUUGUGAGAUGAAUUAUUAUUGAAUCUGUGAAUUAAACUGUUUUCCAUAUAUGGACUAAAAUAAAUGUCUAAAAUUCA